rnacentral:tRNA from 2 species
GGGCCCGUAGCGCAGUUAGGAAGCGCGGCGGCCUUCUAAGCCGCAGGUCCCGGGUUCAAAUCCCGGCGGGCCCGCCA